GCAGUCGUACGAUGAGGGGAGCUUGCUUCCUGGAUUAGUGGCGAACGGGUGAGUAACACGUGAGUAACCUGCCCUUGACUCUGGGAUAAGCGUUGGAAACGACGUCUAAUACCGGAUAUGACCUGUGACGGCAUCGUCUGCAGGUGGAAAGAAUUUUGGUCAAGGAUGGACUCGCGGCCUAUCAGGUAGUUGGUGAGGUAACGGCUCACCAAGCCGACGACGGGUAGCCGGCCUGAGAGGGUGACCGGCCACACUGGGACUGAGACACGGCCCAGACUCCUACGGGAGGCAGCAGUGGGGAAUAUUGCACAAUGGGCGAAAGCCUGAUGCAGCAACGCCGCGUGAGGGACGACGGCCUUCGGGUUGUAAACCUCUUUUAGUUGGGAAGAAGGGAGCUUGCUCUUGACGGUACCAGCAGAAAAAGCACCGGCUAACUACGUGCCAGCAGCCGCGGUAAUACGUAGGGUGCAAGCGUUGUCCGGAAUUAUUGGGCGUAAAGAGCUCGUAGGCGGUUUGUCGCGUCUGCUGUGAAAUCUGGGGGCUCAACCCCCAGCCUGCAGUGWGUACGGGCAGACUAGAGUGCGGUAUGGGAGAUUGAAUUCCUGGUGUAGCGGUGGAAUGCGCAGAUAUCAG
rnacentral:rRNA from 1 species